rnacentral:rRNA from 1 species
UACAGAGGGUGCAAGCGUUGUUCGGAAUUAUUGGGCGUAAAGAGCUCGUAGGCGGUUUGUCGCGUCGGCUGUGAAAUCCCGAGGCUCAACCUCGGGUCUGCAGUCGAUACGAGCAAACUAGAGUGUUGCAGGGGAGACUGGAAUUCCUGGUGUAGCGGUGAAAUGCGCAGAUAUCAGGAGGAACACCGAUAGCGAAGGCAGCUUGCUACACAAUAAUUGACGCUGAGGCACGAAAGCGUGGGGAUCAAACAGG